rnacentral:rRNA from 1 species
UCGGGAAUUUUGGGCAAUGGGCGAAAGCCUGACCCAGCAACGCCGCGUGAAGGAUGAAGUAUUUCGGUAUGUAAACUUCGAAAGAAUAGGAAGAAUAAAUGACGGUACUAUUUAUAAGGUCCGGCUAACUACGUGCCAGCAGCCGCGGUAAUACGUAGGGACCAAGCGUUGUUCGGAAUUACUGGGCGUAAAGGGCGCGUAGGCGGUCUUGUGAGUCCCGUGUGAAAGCCCCCGGCUCAACCGGGGAAUGGCACGGGAAACUGCGAGGCUUGAGUUCGGGAGAGGGAAGCGGAAUUCCGGGUGUAGCGGUGAAAUGCGUAGAUAUCCGGAGGAACACCAGUGGCGAAGGCGGCUUCCUGGACCGAUACUGACGCUGAGGCGCGAAAGCUAGGGGAGCAAACGGGAUUAGAUACCCACGUAGUCCCUGAGCGGGCUGGCAAGGCGCAU